CCCAGGUUAAAAUAAACUAACCACUUGAACCCUACAUAUUUUAAGUUACAAAUGAUAAAACAAUUAAUUUUGUUGGAAAAUUAACUACAGUCCAAAUGUAUGUUUAAAAUGGAAGCAUAACUUAAGGAAAAAAAAUAAAAUAAAUUAAAUGCAGAAAUAAUAUGGUUACGUAUGCGGAUAUGACGAAAAUACGUAUGACGUAGUCACGCAACGGAUGUAGAGAGAGAUGAUGCUCGAGUCAGAAACAGGAGUGUGAAUCAUCAAAUGUGCAAAAUGGUAAAUUCAUUGUUUUUUUACCAUCAAAAAUGCAUUGAAAGUGUAACAUAGUCUUUGAAUAUUAAUAUUGAAUGAUUGAUAGUGUGAUUAUUGUUGAUAUUGAAGUGGAUGCAAGCUGAUAUUGAAAUCUGAUGACCAUGAACAGGUGUCUGCUAAAGUGUUUAGUCAUCUGACUUGGUCAGGUUUUUUGAUCGGUUUAAAAGUGAAAGUGAAAGUGAUCUUUGGCCAACGAGAUCUGUGCUACGGAGACAACAAACACUGUGAAAGUGAUUUGUGGCUGACGAACUCCGCGUGAGUGGCUGUAAACAGACUCUACGCUAACUUUAGUCGUUUGGAGCAACCAAAAAACCCUCCGUGACAACGUGAUGGCGAGCCAACCCCGAGAGUAACUUGGAUCACCAUAGCAACAGCUGGACACGACUUGAGAAUACGAUAAGUGCAUUUAAAUAUUUUUUCGUUUUGGACCACGGAACAAUUAAUCUACGAUAACGGACGAACUUUGAGGUUUUUUUUGUUAUUCAUACGAACUGAACUGUUUACAUUUGUGGAAUAUAUUUCAAAUUGAGAGGUU